GGUGGAUGGAGAUUCAAGAGUUUCCAAGACUAAGCAAUAUGUUAUCCAGUGAUGUCAACGUUGAUUUGCAAGGAUUGACAGAGUCGUUAAGCAAACUAAUUCUGCUACACCAAUUGUAAUUGGAGUUAAAAGAAAGGCUACAGUUGGACGCCCACGCAAUCGAUUGAAGGACCCCCUUGAACGAAAAAGAAAGAAAACAUCAACAAAAGCUUCUGCAAGACGACAAAUAACAAUGCAGGAAAUUGAUUUCGCAAGUGGAGGUUCACAAGUGCAACAGAUUGUUGGACAUGAGGAACCUUGUAUGGAAAAUGGAACCUACAUGCCAUUUUCAACGGUGGAAAGCUCUAAUAUGAUGACAAGUUGGCAAGACAAAAUUUCUUUCACCCAACUACUUCAUGAACAAGUACAUAUUGAUGCUUUUUCAGAAGACCAAGAAUUGGGAAGUUGAGCAAGAUCUUUUUGCUGGAUAUUUUUUGGGUAGUGCAGCGAUGAAAUAUUUAACAUAUGAAGAUUGCACAAGUUUUUUGUUGGGUUGUGCAACAUAUCAAAGGAUAUCAUACUUGUACAUUUUGUGCAGCACAUGGGUUAAUAGGGAUUGCA